GAUGAAGAACGUAGCGAAAUGCGAUAAGUAAUGUGAAUUGCAGAAUUCAGUGAAUCAUCGAAUCUUUGAACGCACAUUGCGCCCGCCAGUAUUCUGGCGGGCAUGCCUGUUCGAGCGUCAUUUCAACCAUCAAGCCCCCGGGCUUGUGUUGGGGACCUGCGGCUGCCGCAGGCCCUGAAAAGCAGUGGCGGGCUCGCUGUCACACCGAGCGUAGUAGCAUACAUCUCGCUCUGGGCGUGCUGCGGGUUCCGGCCGUUAAACCACCUUUUAACCCAAGGUUGACCUCGGAUCAGGUAGGAAGACCCGCUGAACUUAAGCAUAUCAAUAAGCGGACGA
rnacentral:misc_RNA from 1 species